GAUGAACGCUGGCGGCGUGCCUAAUACAUGCGAGUCGAGCGAACAGACGAGGAGCUUGCUCCUCUGACGUUAGCGGCGGACGGGUGAGUAACACGUGGAUAACCUACCUAUAAGACUGGGAUAACUUCGGGAAACCGGAGCUAAUACCGGAUAAUAUAUUGAACCGCAUGGUUCAAUAGUGAAAGACGGUUUUGCUGUCACUUAUAGAUGGAUCCGCGCCGCAUUAGCUAGUUGGUAAGGUAACGGCUUACCAAGGCAACGAUGCGUAGCCGACCUGAGAGGGUGAUCGGCCACACUGGAACUGAGACACGGUCCAGACUCCUACGGGAGGCAGCAGUAGGGAAUCUUCCGCAAUGGGCGAAAGCCUGACGGAGCAACGCCGCGUGAGUGAUGAAGGUCUUCGGAUCGUAAAACUCUGUUAUUAGGGAAGAACAAAUGUGUAAGUAACUAUGCACGUCUUGACGGUACCUAAUCAGAAAGCAACGGCUAACUACGUG
rnacentral:rRNA from 1 species